rnacentral:rRNA from 1 species
AAUCAACGCUGGCGGCGUGCCUCAGACAUGCAAGUCGAACGCUGCUGUUCGCCUUCGGGUGGACAGCGGAGUGGCGCACGGGUGAGUAACACGUAGGUAAUCUACCUUUGGGUGGGGAAUAACAGCCGGAAACGGCUGCUAAUACCGCAUAAUGCAGCGGCAUCACAUGAUGACAGUUGUUAAAGCGAGGGAUCGUAAGACCUCGCGCCUGAAGAGGAGCCUGCGGCAGAUUAGGUAGUUGGUGAGGUAAUGGCUCACCAAGCCUGCGAUCUGUAACCGGCCUGAGAGGGCGGUCGGUCACACUGACACUGACAUACGGGUCAGACUCCUACGGGAGGCAGCAGU